AUUGAACGCUGGCGGCAUGCCUUACACAUGCAAGUCGAACGGCAGCACGGGGGCAACCCUGGUGGCGAGUGGCGAACGGGUGAGUAAUGCAUCGGAACGUGCCCAGUAGUGGGGGAUAACUAGUCGAAAGAUUAGCUAAUACCGCAUACGACCUAUGGGUGAAAGCGGGGGAUUCGCAAGAACCUCGCGCUAUCGGAGCGGCCGAUGUCUGAUUAGCUAGUUGGCGGGGUAAAAGCCCACCAAGGCUUCGAUCAGUAGCUGGUCUGAGAGGACGACCAGCCACACUGGGACUGAGACACGGCCCAGACUCCUACGGGAGGCAGCAGUGGGGAAUUUGGACAAUGGCGCAAGCCUGAUCCAGCCAUGCCGCGUGCGGGAAGAAGGCCU
rnacentral:rRNA from 1 species